AUUUUUUGUGGAAUUUUUUGGGGAUAUUUUUGGGAUAUUUCAGGGAAUUUUUUGGGAUUUUUUUGCGGAAUUUUUGGGGGGAUUUUCUGUGGAUGUUUUUGUAUUUUUUGUGAUUUUUUGGGAAUUUUUUUUAAUUUUUGGGGAACCUUUGGGGACUUUUUGGGGAAUUUUUGGGGAAUUUUUUUGGGGGAUUUUUUUGUAUUUUUUGGGAUUUUUGGUGGAAUUUUUGGGCAUUUUUUUGGGAAUAUUUUAGGGAUUUUUAUGGGAUUUUUUGGGAAUUUUUUGGAGAUUUUUUGUGGGAUUUUUGGGGGAUUUUUUGGGGAUUUUUGGGGGUAUUUUUGGGGAUUUUUGGAGGGUAUUUUUGGGGAUUUUUUGGGGAAUUUUUGGGAUUUUUUGGGGAUUUUUUUGGGAUUUUUUGGGGAUUUUUGGGGGAAUUUUUGGGAUUUUUUGGGAAAUUUUUUGAAUUUUUUUGGGAUUUUUUCUGGAAUUUUUGGGAUUUUUUUUGGGAUUUUUGGGGAUUUUUUUGGAAUUUUUGGGGAAAUUUUUGGGAUUUUUUUGGGGAAUUUUUUUUUAUUUUUUGGGGAAUUUUUUUGAAUUUUUUUGGGAUUUAUUCUGGAAUUUUUGGGAUUUUUUUGGGAAUUUUUUGGGAAAUUUUGGAAACAUUUUUGGGUAUUUUUGGGGGAAUUUUUGGGGGAAUUUUUUGGGAAUUUUUUUGGGUUUAACUGGGCCAAGGCGCCCUCUUGUGGACAUCGAGGGAGUUGCAGAAAACAGCCCCGAAAAUUCCCAAAAUUUGGGAAUUUAUUGGGGAAAAAUUGGGGGAAAAUCAGGAAAUUUUAUGAGAAUUUUUUGGGAUUUUUAGGGAAUUAUUUGGGUAUUUUUUUGGGAUUUUUAUGAGGAUUUUUUUUGAUUUUUAAUGGGGUUUUUAAUAGGAUUUUAAUGGGAAUUUUUGGGGGAUUAUUUUUUAAUUUUAUGGGAUUUAAUCAGAUUUUAAUGGGAAUUUUUUUUUGAUUUUUAUGGGAAUUCUAAUGGGAUUUUUUGGGGGAUUUUUAUCAGAUUUUAUGGGAUUUUUUAGGGAUUUUUUUGGGUAUUUUAAUGGGAAUUUUCUGGGAUUUUUGGGGGGAUUUUAAUGGGAAUUUUCUGGGAUUUUGGGGGGGAUUUUAAUGGGAAUUUAAUGGGAUUUUUAUGGGAAUUUUAGGGGAUUUUUUGGGGAUUUUAAUGAGAAUUUUAUGGGAAUUUUGGGGGAUUUUUAAANUAAUGGGGGAUUUCAAAGGGGGAUUUUAAUGGGGGAAUUUAAUGGGGAAUCUAAUGGGGAAUUUCAAUGGAAUUUUACUGGGACUUUAAUGGGGAAUUGCAAUGGGAUUUUAAUGGAAUUUAAAUGGGGAAUUUCAAUGGGAUUUUAGUGGGAUUUUAAUGGGGAAUUUCAAUGGGGUUUUAAUGGGGAAUUUCAAUGGGGGAUUUUAAUGGGAAUUUCAAUGGGAUUUUAAUGGGGGAUUUUAAUGGGGAAUUUCAAUGGGGAAUUUCAAUGGGAUUUUAAUGGGGGAUUUUAAUGGGGAAUUUCAAUGGGAUUGCAAUGGGAAUUUUCAAUGGGGGAUUU
ensembl:lncRNA